rnacentral:rRNA from 1 species
GACGAACGCUGGCGGCGUGCUUAACACAUGCAAGUCGAACGGAAAGGCCCUGCUUUUGUGGGGUGCUCGAGUGGCGAACGGGUGAGUAACACGUGAGUAACCUGCCCUUGACUUUGGGAUAACUUCAGGAAACUGGGGCUAAUACCGGAUAGGAGCUCCUGCUGCAUGGUGGGGGUUGGAAAGUUUCGGCGGUUGGGGAGGGACUCGCGGCUUAUCAGCUUGUUGGUGGGGUAGUGGCUUACCAAGGCUUUGACGGGUAGCCGGCCUGAGAGGGUGACCGGCCACAUUGGGACUGAGAUACGGCCCAGACUCCUACGGGAGGCAGUAGUGGGGAAUAUUGCACAAUGGGCGGAAGCCUGAUGCAGGAACGCCGCGUGCGGGAUGACGGCCAUCGGGUUGUAAACCGCUUUCGCCUGUGACGAAGCGUGAGUGACGGUAAUGGGUAAAGAAGCACCGGCUAACUACGUG